GUAACGGGAGCAGAGUCGGCGGGGUGCGUUCCUUAGUCUUUCAUUCAUCAGCGUAAAAAGAACUGAGUUUAGGUCGCAGGUCCCCUCCAGGGCAGGCAUUAUCGUGUGCGCUGCAGUAACCUCUCAUCUUGUGGAGUCCUACACUUAGCGCAUGUUGCUCCGGCGCGCUGCGUAAAGCUGAGGAGCCUGAGGCCCGAGGUCCGAUGCUCGCCUGGCUGGCCUAUGGCUGCGGGAGCGGUGUGUGUCGGACCGUAGGACGGCCUCACGGCUAGAGUUUGAGG
rnacentral:lncRNA from 1 species